GCUCUCUCUCUCUGUCUUGUUGUUAUGGUGAUCGCUGUUGCCACCUCUUAACCCGACCGCUGGGAAAUUCCUCAGGGUGGGGUCAGUGUCCAGUGCAUUUCCGGGCCUUCAGACAACAGUGUGGCCGGAAUGUCCGUGCACCGCGCGCGCAGCUCAGGUCUCCAGGGCCGCCCUGCCCGGGCUCCUCCAUCCCGUAGACCAAUCCUUCCCACCACCUGCAAGGACGUCGCCGGCCCACCCCCAGAACCUUCCUCUAAUCUUAGGGCAAGCCUGAGAGGUUGCUUCCAGUUCAAGAGGCUCGGAGCUGAGGGCCUUGUGUGCACGCAGAUGUGACUCCUGAGACCUCCCGGGGAAGUCACUCUGCUGGGUUUACAGACCCACAGGAAGAUGGAAAUAAACCCGAAUACGUCGGUGGCCAACUGAUUCCCAGUAAGGGAGCCCAGACCGUUCAAUGACAAAAAGUCCUUCAACAGAUGGUGCUGGGCCCCUACCUCACACCGCACACAAAAAUGAACUCAGAGUGGAUCAAAGACCCACAUGGAAGGAGUCAAAACUAUGAAAGUCUCAGAAGAAAACGCUGGGGGGGCUCCUCGCCGCCUUGGACUUGGUGAGAGGUUCUUGGCUACGACACCAAGGCACAGGCAGUCAAGAAAAAACUGGAUAAAUUGGACUCUGUCGACAUUAAAAACUUCUGGGCAUCGACAGAGUGUAUAGACGGCCCACGCUCGGGAGAGGCCGUCUGCGGAUUAUAUCCCUGAUAGAGACCUCGUGUCAGGAUAUAUAAUGAACUCUCACAGCUCAGCAACAAAAGGUCAAGAAUGGACGGAGGACCCGAACAGGAACUUUUCCCAAGAAAACGUGCAAAUGGCCAACAAGCACGUGAAAAGAGGGAAACGCAACUCAAAACCACGCUGAGAUGCCCGCGAGGAUGCCUAGAAUGGGGCGGAAACUAGCGAGUGCUGGCCAGGACGUGGACAACGUGGAACGCCUGGGCACUGCUGGCGGGAGCAUGGGACGGGACGGCCACUCUGGAAAACGGGUUGGUGGAUCCCGGAGAGUAAAACGUCGAAUGCUCAUUUGAUGAAGCUUCUCCACCCCUACGUACACACCCAGAGAACCGAAACCAGGGCUCCAGACAAACACUUGUACACAAAUGUUCACAGCAGCUUUAUACACAGCGGUCGCAAAGAGGAAAGGACCCAAGUGCCCGUCGCCUAAAGCAAAGGUAGGCUCUGUGCCCACUGUGGGGCUCCA